UAUAAAAUAAUUACAUUAAUUUCUUUAUAUUUAACGUGUAAACACACACACACAAAGCAUGAUCCAGAAGGUGAGAUUAUCAUUACAAUGUUUGCCAUUUUCUUUAUAUGUAUUAUAGCAAAACCACAUUGAGCUGUCUGCUACGUCCACCGUGGGGAAUCGAGCGCCUGAGUUUUACAUUGUUUCCAAAGCACACUUUCAUGAGACAGCGAUAGAUACAGGCUAAGACAAUUGAUGGGAAACUAAGAAGCCAUGGAAUCCAUCACCAUAUAAUGUAGUGUGCUCGGAACAUUUUGUCGAGAAUGACUUCUAUAAGUCCCGCCAUGGAAAUCUGAAUAAACGUCUAAAAAAAUACAGCUAUCCCAUUUAUCUUUGCAUGGAAGAGAAAUCAAGAGACUCCAAGAAGGGCUUCACUGAUAAGCUUAAGGGCUGCAGAAACUCGAUCAUCUCCAUCCCAGCAGCCUAAUCCUGAAGUUCCUCUUGCAACUUUAGUUAACAUUGAACAUUCUUAUAACUGCGAUUUUCAUUCCUUAAAGAUAAAGUAUAACGAGGUGAAGACAAAGCUGGAGGCCACCAAACAGGAAUUACACAACACAGAGCGGAGGAAGAAGCGUGCCAGGCUCUCUGUAGAGGCUUUUUUGGCAGAGGUGAAAUAGAUUCGGGCCUUGUCUGAUGAGGCACACAGGAUGCUUGACUCAUAUAAAGGUGGAUACGAUCCAGAUUCAAGUAAGAGUGGUGAAAUGAUACUGACAGGAACUACUUAUGUACUUGACCUCGACACGAAAGAAUGAGAAAGUAAACGGAACAUGAUCUGUGCUCGAGCACACCAUGGUGUUGUAACUAUUCGUGGCCGUAUUUAUGUUAUCGGUGGUCGUGAUAGCACAGGGAGGUAAGUAACACAUGCAUGAAGUAAGACACAAUAUGUUAUUUCUUAAUCGUGUAAAAAAUUACAAGUAUGAUGAGUAAAGUAUUGAUGGAAAAUGUUCUUUUUUGUUGUUUUUUGUUAAUCCCAAUUGAACUGUAUAGUAAAGACAAACAUCGUAAAGUUCAACUGAUUGUGUAAAUAAUUUACAAUAUCAUGCAUACUUAUUACACCAGAUUUUGGUUUUAUAUGAAUGAUGUUACGAACGUCAGUAAAUGAAAGUUUGGUUUGUAUUAUGCA